rnacentral:rRNA from 1 species
CCUACGGGUGGCAGCAGUGGGGAAUAUUGCACAAUGGGGGAAACCCUGAUGCAGCGACGCCGCGUGGGUGAAGAAGUAUUUCGGUAUGUAAAGCCCCAUCAGCAGGGAAGAAAAAUGACGGUACCUGACUAAGAAGCACCGGCGAAAUAAGUGCCAGCAGCCGCGGUAAUACGUAGGGUGCAAGCGUUAUCCGGAUUUACUGGGUGUAACGGGAGCGCAGGCGGGACGAUAAGCCUGAGGUGAAAACCCGCGGCCCAACCGCGGGAGUGCAUUGGGAACUGGCGAGCUAGAGUACCGGAGGGGCAGGCGGAAUGCCUGGUGUAGCGGUGAAAUGCGUAGAUAUUA